rnacentral:ribozyme from 16 species
GAAAAGAAAAGGGAAAGAAAGGCGAAAUACACAUAGUUUCGAGUCUUUGUCCCUCUGCUGUCUUUGAUUUUUCUCUUGUUCUGAUGUUCAAUCUGAUUCUUGUUUCU